GUGAGAGACAGACAGAUGUAGCGUAAUAAGAAACAGCAGCAUAAAAAUAGAGACAGACAUAUAAAACAUUCUAAAGUUCUAAUAAAAUCGAUCAUAAGGUGGAUAGAGGAGAAAAGAAAACCAAUUGAGAGAGAUCUUCCCUCCCCACUUUAAAAAAGAAAUCAAUUCGUUCCUGAUGGCCGCCUCUCUCAACGUUUCCACUCAUUUGGAAAAUAAGAAUAAAAACCCUACCACACAAAACUUGACUUUUCUUUCAUCAUAUUAGUUUUCAGGCUUUCAGUUCGAGCAAGCAAAGUAAUCUUGUUAUAAAAGUCAUCCCUGAAUAGGGUAAAAUCUCGUCAUACGAGUAUACUGAACAAACUAGAAUCCAUUGAAACAGCACCCAUCCCAUCUUCUCUCGCUUGAUGGAUACAGAUGAUCGCAAGUGUUGCUCGAAUUCACAGGAUGAGAUGCCGCCACAGAGCAAGAAAAAGCUAGGGAAGAAAGUCCAUAAGAUUCUAUCUCCUAGUGAUCUAAGAACAUUGCAAUGGCUUACGGAGAAAACUUUAAUCCAGGAAAAUCCAGAAACCGUAUCCGUAUCCGUUUUCUACAAAGAAGCAUUCGCAUGGAAGCCCUGAGAAGAUGCAGCAGUCUUCACAACAGUCAUCUGAUGAGCAGCCUCCUAAGAAUCCCAACAUGGUAAUGCAGCAAUCAGUAAGAGGAUCUUUCCAUAGGAAAUAUUGGCAAAAGCCUGAUUCUGUUUUGGUAUAAAUAUGUGUAGGUAGAAACUUGUUUUAAAUAAAAAUCUAGGGGAGGUAGAUUCCCUAUGAAAUUUA
rnacentral:sRNA from 1 species